GCUUGCUUUCUUUGCUGGCGACCGGCGCACGGGUGAGUAACACGUAUCCAACCUACCCUUUACUCGGGGAUAGUCUUUCGAAAGAAAGAUUAAUACCCGAUAGCAUAAUGAUUCCGCAUGGUUUCAUUAUUAAAGGAUUCCGGUAAAGGAUGGGGAUGCGUUCCAUUAGGUUGUUGGUGGGGUAACGGCCCACCAAGCCUUCGAUGGAUAGGGGUUCUGAGAGGAAGGCCCCCCACAUUGGAACUGAGACACGGUCCAAACUCCUACGGGAGGCAGCAUG
rnacentral:rRNA from 1 species